rnacentral:rRNA from 1 species
AUUGAACGCUGGCGGCAGGCCUAACACAUGCAAGUCGAGCGGUAGAGAGGUGCUUGCACCUCUUGAGAGCGGCGGACGGGUGAGUAAUGCCUAGGAAUCUGCCUGGUAGUGGGGGAUAACGCUCGGAAACGGACGCUAAUACCACAUACGUCCUACGGGAGAAAGCAGGGGACCUUCGGGCCUUGCGCUAUCAGAUGAGCCUAGGUCGGAUUAGCUAGUUGGUGAGGUAAUGGCUCACCAAGGCGACGAUCCGUAACUGGUCUGAGAGGAUGAUCAGUCACACUGGAACUGAGACACGGUCCAGACUCCUACGGGAGGCAGCAGUGGGGAAUAUUGGACAAUGGGCGAAAGCCUGAUCCAGCCAUGCCGCGUGUGUGAAGAAGGUCUUCGGAUUGUAAAGCACUUUAAGUUGGGAGGAAGGGCGUUACCUAAUACGUGACGACUUUGACGUUACCGACAGAAUAAGCACCGGCUAACUCUGUGCCAGCCGCCGCUGUAA